GCGGCGCUAGCUCAGCUGGAUAGAGCAACGGGCUUCGAACCCGUAGGUCGGGGGUUCAAAUCCCUCGCGCCGCG
rnacentral:tRNA from 1 species